rnacentral:lncRNA from 1 species
CUGAGUAUCCCACUACCACCAUUGUGAACAUGGCCUUUCCUCUCUGGAGCUACACUUUGUGGGUUGCUUCCUAACCCUGCCUUGUGUGUGUCUUUGCUGUGAGCAGACCGUGUCAUCUCAGUGUGUCCCUGCUGCAGUGGCUUCUCUGCUCACACCCCCUGUGGUUUUCACACAGUCUACCUGUGCCCCACUGAGAGAGACUGAUAAUGGGCUCAUGGCCCUAGGAGGCCCAGAACUUCCUGCUGCCUCCUCCAGCCUCCUUCUGCCCCUGCAGAACUGGGAAUCCUCCACCAUGGCCAGCAGGCCCCUCACCAGGCUGCAGCUCCAGGAGGCACUGCUGAACCUCAUCCAGAAUGACGACAACUUCUUAAGCAUAAUCUACGAAGCCUAUCUCUUCAGCGUGACACAAGCCGCCAUGAGAAAAGCCACGUGACCAGCUACCUGAGAGCAAAGACUGAGAACUGGUUUUCCGGGGUCUUCCUGUGAACUGGUGUGACCAAACACAUUUAUGCCUUUUUAACAAAGUAUAGUGAUGCAGAGUAAAAUGUUUUGUACUAUCC